rnacentral:rRNA from 1 species
CCUACGGGAGGCAGCAGUGAGGAAUAUUGGUCAAUGGACGAGAGUCUGAACCAGCCAAGUAGCGUGAAGGAUGACUGCCCUAUGGGUUGUAAACUUCUUUUAUAAAGGAAUAAAACGAGGCACGUGUGCCUUUUUGCAUGUACUUUAUGAAUAAGGAUCGGCUAACUCCGUGCCAGCAGCCGCGGUAAUACGGAGGAUCCGAGCGUUAUCCGGAUUUAUUGGGUUUAAAGGGAGCGUAGAUGGGUUGUUAAGUCAGUUGUGAAAGUUUGCGGCUCAACCGUAAAAUUGCAUUUGAUACUGGCAGUCUUGAGUACAGUUGAGGUAGGCGGAAUUCGUGGUGUAGCGGUGAAAUGCUUAGAUAUCACGAAGAACCCCGAUGGCGAAGGCAGCUUACUAAACUGUGACUGACAUUGAUGCUCGAAAGUGUGGGGAUCAAACAGGAUUAGAUACCCUUGUAGUC